UUUUUCAUUUCUCCCUUGUGUUUCUCUUCCUUUCCUUAGUGACCCUUGUUGUGUCAGCCUUUCUAUGCAUGAUCAGUUCCCUGUGAUCUAUGGAAAACUCCCACCUCAGGAAUUUGAAGCCUGUGGGAACUGACAGAGGAAGACCACCGCAUCUGUUGAAAGCCUGUGGUCUGUUGGGCUCCGUGUAUACUCUCUCCACAGCCCUACAAGGAAUGACUCUGAUGGUGGAAUUUCAAGAAUCAAGGGAAGCAAGUGAAGAUGAAACUUCAAAGCAGCAGAGGUUUCUUAACACCCUUCGAUGUUUAGGACAUAAGUGACCACUUAUUCAUGAGCCAUUCAUGGGUGAGACUGAUCCUGGAGGUUGAUGGAGGACAGCUAAUGUAGGUGGCUGAAAGGUGCUUGACCAGAGUGUGCCUCUGAAAAAAGACAAAAAACAAACAAAAACCCCCCCAAACCCAAGAGUCCUUUUGCUGGUUCACUAUCUGGAGCCUAUAAGGACUGUGACAACUGUGACACAGCUGAGGAUGAGCAAGAGGAAAUUAAGCUGCAUGGAAGCUUUAUGAGGUUCUUCUCCUGGAGGGCAAUUCCAGACAUAUUCAAGUAGGGGCAUUAUCCAGCCUCUGAGAGAUUCCAAGAGAUUCCCAAGCAUUCAAAAAAUGAUGGAACUCUUAUCUCAAUCAAAUAAAAACACACAUAUCAUAACUAUCUGAUAGUGAGCUCUCCGCUGGUUGGGAGGAGGUGGUCAUGCAUAAACCUGGGGUGGUCAUGGGUCUACAUGCUCUAGCUUCUCAGAGCAGGCGUCCAGAUAUGAUAGAGGACCUGCCAG